CGGCUGUCAAGAGGACUUAAGAGCAUUAAGCCGGGCUUGGAGUCCUAAGCGUGGGGCCCUCUGCCUGCCCUGCUGGCCACCAGAGCCAUCAGCCAGGGGAGAGAAAGGUCGCACCCUCAGAGGAACUUGGAGGUAGAGGUAGAGGCAUCAGGCCGUCUGGAGCAUGUCUAGAUGAGGAGAGAGGGUUGAAAAACUAGAUGGGUCAAGAAUGAAGGGUUAACAGUAAGUUGGACUUUAUCCUGUAGGCUUUGAAAGCUUCUAACUGAAAAAGAGUUGAAAGCAAUGUUUGGUGACUAUUGAUCUGGCUUUGGAAUGUUGAAUAGACAGGGAUGCCAGGGGAAGGCAGGAGGCUGUUGGAAUAGUUACAGAGGGAAAGAUAAAGACCCAGGUUAAUGGGAGUAAUGGGAGGGCUGUGGAUACAGCUCAGCUGGUAGAGUGCUUGCCUCACAUGCAUUAAGGCCCUGGGUUCAAUCCCUAGCACUACCAAAAAAGAAAAAAAAAAGGAGUAGAAGGGAAAGGACAUAUUCUAAGGAAAGAAUCAAGUGUUAGGGGCAUCCUAGUGUUCAAUACCUUCUGCUCAGUAGAUCUUCUUGCUUUGACACUUUCUUUCUACACUUUGUAGCCCUCAGACUACCCAGUAAAUACCUUUUGACUUUGGGCAGGUUAUACUUCCUGGGCCUCAAAUUCCUCCACUGUAAACUGAGAUUAAAGUGGUGAUUAUAAGGUUCUACCAAGCUCACAUUGACUCAGUGAAUCUUGUAUUUCUGAGCUAGCCACCAGCACUGGCACGCAUUAACUGGUUCAUUGUAUUUUUCCAGUGCCUCCUGUGUGUCAGGUAGCAUAUUAGGCUGGGAACGUAAAUAAUUUAGUCUGAUAGGUGUUUACUUCUAAAAUUUUUGUCACUGACUCCUUCCCAUUAGGACUUUAACAACCUUAAAAUAACUUAUUAACUUCUGUGGCAGGUAACUUACCUGUAACUUGGAUAUCCUCAGGAUCCUUCCUAUUCUAACACAUCAUAAUUCAUUAGCUAUUAGGAAGAGAGAAAUCACAGAUGACACUGAAUUUUGAAGCCCGGGUGAAUGUUAGUUAAUCCAUUUGACAAAAAAAUGAAGUAGGAGAACCUGUUUAAGAUCAAAGUUAUGAGUUUUGUUGGGCAUACGUGAAUUUCAGAACUCUUUCUUUUCCACUUCACAAAUAAAGACAUUUUUGAUCCUCUUCCAUUUGACGCUACAAGUGUAAUAUACAUUGACAUCUUCUCAGGAUGUCCCUUUGUCCGUUAUUAUGUUGGGUCCCUUCUCCUUGAAAAUUGUUUCCUUAAGUUAUCCUCUCCCAUGUAUCUUGAGUUCUCCCUCCUUACUGGAUUUUCCCCUUCAGUACUUAAACAUGC
rnacentral:lncRNA from 1 species